UACGUAGGUGGCAAGCGUUGUCCGGAUUUAUUGGGCGUAAAGGGAGCGCAGGUGGUGAUUUAAGUCUGAUGUGAAAGCCCACGGCUCAACCGUGGAAGGUCAUUGGAAACUGGAUCACUUGAGUGCAGAAAAGGAAAGUGGAAUUCCAUGUGUAGCGGUGAAAUGCGUAGAUAUAUGGAGGAACACCAGUGGCGAAGGCGACUUUCUGGUCUAUAACUGACACUGAGGCUCGAAAGCGUGGGGAGCAAACAGG
rnacentral:rRNA from 1 species